rnacentral:rRNA from 1 species
AACGAACGCUGGCGGCAGGCCUAACACAUGCAAGUCGAGCGGACCCUUCGGGGUUAGCGGCUGACGGGGGAGUAACGCGUGGGAAUAUGCCCUUCUCUACGGAAUAGUCCUUGGAAACUGGGGGUAAUACCGUAUACGCUCUUCGGGGGAAAGAUUUAUCGGGGUAGGUUUAGCACGCGUUGGUUUAGGUAGUUGGUGGGGUAAUGGCCUACCAAGCCGACGAUCCAUAGCUGGUUUGAGAGGAUGAUCAGCCACACUGGGACUGAGACACGGCCCAGACUACUACGGGAGGCAGCAGUGGGGAAUCUUAGACAAUGGGGGCAACCCUGAUCUAGCCAUGCCGCGUGAGUGAUGAAGGCGUUAGAGAUGUAAAGCUCUUUCAGCUGGGAAGAUAAUGACGGUACCAGCAGAAGAAGCCCCGGCUAACUUCGUG